UCAGUUUUUGGUGUUUGGGCUGAACCCCUGUGAGAAAAUGUACCUUUCUAGAUGAGCUGCUCUUGUGGGUAGGCCUGGCCCUUUGUUGGUGGACUAGGCCUCUGUAAAGACUAAACACCUGUGUGAGUGUUAGUGCAUUUGGGAGUGGACCAAACCCCUGUGAGUUAACUGCACCUUCACAAUGUACUGUGCUCCUGAGAGUGGGCCUGGUUCUCUAUGGAUGGGCCAGACCUCUUUGGAGACAGCACACAUGCUGAUGUCAAUGGGGUGGGGUGUGCGUUUUCUGCCUUUAGGAGUGGACUCGGCCCUCAGUUGUGGACUGUUUCUAGCAGUGGACUCUGCAGAUGUUUCCUGACCUGAUUUUUCCAGCAAUCUCUAUUCUUAGUUUUAGCUGGCUAUGGUGUCCCUAACAUUACAACAGUGGGUACAUUUCUGAAAGUACCUAAUUGAUUGUCAAGCACUUCGGUUGUGAAAAGAAAUGCUGCAAAAUCUGGUGGUAGGGUGAAUGCUUCCAAAAGUCUGAACUCCCUGCUUCAGAUAAUCCUGUGGGGUUUUUAACGUUCACCUGAAGAAACCAGAUGUGCUUUGUUUCAAUGACUCACCUGAAGAAUGGCAUUCUAACAAUGCAGCAUGCCUGCAUUACCAUGCUCGGCAUCAGCCCACAUUAUGGCCUGGAGUGAGGCCAAACCCACAAUCUUCUGAUCCAAGAGGAGAAUGCUGUCAACUGAGACAAACUACAAUCACUUGAUUUUAAGAAAAUAUCACCUUAAGUGUCCAAGACCACUAAGAUAUACUUCAUAUUAAUACUUUGGGAGUAUAGGACUAACUAGAAUACCUAUCUGCUAUUGUACAACUUCAAGAACACCUAAUCAUUAAAUCCAACCUAGGGCUUUCUGAUUUCCAAAACUGAAGUUAAACAUAUUGUAUUGGAAUCCCUUCCUCCACCACCAAUCACUAUGAUUCUAAAGUACAUUGUAGUUUAUUUGCUUCCUUUCCACACUCUAGAAGACACGACUCCUUAUAAAAAUGCCUUUUCGUUGCUUCUUAAAUAUAAGCUGAUAUUUAACCAUUUAACAAUCUGUGCUUACAUCUCAUCAUCUUUCCAGAGGCAAAUUUAACUUGCUUCAAAACCACUCAAUUACCUCCAUCUCUUGACCAUUCUUGUCAAAAUACGGUCCCAUCCCUAACCUUCUCCACCUAAGGUUCUUACCAAGGUCUCUGCACACAUGACGCCCACUAUUCUCUUUUGAAAUCUUUCAUUGUGUUUUUACACCAUCCACAGAACUGAGGUCAAUCACCAAUCAAGUUCUAUGUUGCAACAAGAACUAAACGGCCUCUCCUCAGUCUCCUAUCUGCAAAUGUAGAUACCAUCCCAUCAUGCACUACUAUUUAUUCCCUGUAUUUGACUUUUAUUGCUACCAAACACAAUAUCUGAAAAUAGCCAGCACACAUUCUUGUUAUCCAUAAAAUAAUUCCAACACUUCAAAUGUACUUAACUGAUUGGAAUUGCUUUAAAAUACUCUAUGGUCAGGAAAGUCACGAAAUAGACUUGAGUCUUCAUUUUUUUCUUUCCAUCUAAUGCCUGCGUGGUUAUUUCUUUGAUGUCUAAAGACUCCAUUUUGGACUACCUCUUACUUUUCUUUAUUCUCUUAUGAGCAGCUUCACAUCAUCACUCCUUCCCUAUAACUACCGACGUGUUUAAAUUGUGAUAUAGAUGAGCCAUUCUUCUCCAAGUCAACUUCAAAAUCUUUGUCACUCUUUACAAAUUUCUAGUACCCUUCACCUAAUACUGUGCAAUAUAAUCCCAGAUUAUGUUCCAUAUUCUAGUUGUUAACUUCUUCCACCCUCCAGCACUCCGAUUCUGGUCCACGUCACGUAUUUCUCCCACCUUUGGCUACGCUGUUAGUAGCAAAGCCCACCUCAGCUUUGCUGUGCUUUCAACUCCACCCCUAGUCACUGGCCCGUUCAUUUUAUUACCUCUAUCGAGAUUCCCCAAAAUGAUUUUUGAUCACAUCUUUGGUUAUCUCUCCUCACUUCCUGCUCAGAAUCUUUGUACAAAUCAUAAAGGGCCUUGUGGGAGCAUUUGCUAUUAGAAAACAAUAAUAAAAGUACAAACUGCCAGUGAGUCAAGCUUGCCUCCAAAGAGCGCUCUCAACUUUCUUUAUACACCUUUGUUUAUUGUCCCGAUUUUCUCCUGUGGAAUACUUUUGUCGGUUCUGAUUUGUUAAAGGUGUAACCUAAUUGUAGGUCAUUAUUAAAGGAAGAGUCAUAAAUUGACUAGUGCUUUGUUUUAAGUGAAAUCUUUGGAUUCUGCUACAAUUUAUUUUUAGAUGACUGCCUAAUACUCAAGGCAUACUAUUUUAUCAAAGUCAUAACUUGAUUUGAUCAGAUUAAUGAACUUUACUAAAGAAGUAUGCAUUAACCAUUGCAAUAACAAAUAUGCUUAAUGGAAUUUUAAUCUCAUGUUGCACUUGAAUAAGAAUAGAAAGUCUCUGCCCCCCCUUGCACAGAUGUACACUGUUGUCUCAACAGUAAUUCCUUUGUCCUUUUUAUC